ACUCUCAUCUUACCAUGUCAGGCCAUAAUUAUCGCACUCUUAUCACCCACGUCACGUCUUCAGUAACUUUUUACAUUUGUCACCUUUAUUUUCUUUUUCUUUUAACCUAAUCGUUUCACCUUAUUUACAGUUACCUUCAACCUUCGUUUUCUUCCAGAUUUACUUGUAUUUCCGCAAAAAAUUCAAAGUGUCUACCUUUUUCUUUUCCAAUCACUCUAAACUUUUCAAAGCAAUGGCCAGACGUGUUCCUUCUCAAUCACCCCAUGUGUCAUCAAGAACCUUUUUCAACAAAACCAUAGAGGAGAAAUACACAAAUAACACCUCCAAGCUUCUGUUCUGUUUCGAAAAAAGUUUUCCUUUUCAAGAUGCGCCCUUUAUAGGGUAUGAUGAAUCGAUUUCUUCUAUAAUCGAAAAGUACGGGUGGAAAAUCUUUCGCUUACAUCCAGAAGAUGUUUUAACAAAGGUAGUGCAGGAGUUUUAUGCCCACUUGACCUCUCUUAACAUUGCUUUUAUAUAUGUGAGAGGUGUUUCAGUGCUGCUUGAUAAGUACUCUAUCAAUGCUCAAUAUGGCUUACCUGAUGGUCAAGAUGAGCAUUCUUAGUUUGCCACAACAAUCACGGCGAAGGGCCUGAAUCAAGUUCUUAAGGAUCUUUGUGUGGAAGGAACCAAGUAGGUAGUGCCCAGACAAGAUUGCUACAUUAUAGAAUGAGUUUCUGUGAAACCCCAUGUCUAGUUUGGUACCAUUUUCUCAAAUCUCCUCUCAGUCCUUCUACUCAAAACUUAACAAUUUCAAAGGAGUAAAUAUUGUUACUCCAUUCUGUAGUGACAGGGAGGAAAUCAACGUGGGAAAAAUCAUUUUCAAAGAGGUUCAUAGGUGUGCCUAGAAGAAUACUGGCAGCCUUAAUUUUCCUUCCAUUAUUAUUUCCCUUUGCCAACGUGUGAAAGUCUCAGUUCAAGAAAAUGAAGAUAUGAUUCCAAAAAAGGGGGCCAUUACAAAGUAAAUUGUUAUAAGGUUUUAAGGGGAGGAAUUGCCAUGACAUCCACCUCUCGGUUCUACCUUUACAUCCUCUACCCCAACUUGUGGCCCAACAACCCUUUUCACUUCUACUAAUGUCUUUGAACAACAAGUGCCUAGUUCUCUUAAGAGGUUACACAAGCAGUUUAGUUGUUCGAGAAGCAUCAAUCACGAAUUGCUACUCAUUUGGGUAGGGCACAGGAAGAAAUGGCUCUAUUUUAGGGUUAUGUAAGGAAGAGGGACGUUGCUAUCAAGAAAUCCCUUCAGAUGAUUUUCACUCGGCCUAUGUUUGUGUUCCCCAGUUUCCCUAAGGAACUGCUCUUUGAUGUAGAGGAAGUGAAAGAUGAUGAAGCAGAGGUUGAUGAGACCAAACCUAACCCCACACAUCCUACCAUUGAGGAGAAGGCCACAAAAAGACCAUAGAAAGAUGAGGAGAAGACUGAAUCAGUGAUUAUUGAGACUAACCAUGACAGAGAAUAAGCAAACCCAACUUUUGCACCACCUGCAGAUGCUAUUGCACCUGUCCCACCUCAAUUGACUAUGCCGGUGACACAGCAAGAUCAUGAGACCAAUAAGCUGAUUGAUGAUCUCAUAAAAUCGGAUGAUAACGAAAUGAGGUGGCAAUCAACAUGUUGAAAAAGAAGCAGCGCUACAAGCAUGCUACACGAAAAUCUACUCGUUCAAAUUAAAGUAACAACAAUUUCACUCCAAGCUUUGUUCAUUUUUUUUUAUGUUAUUUGUUUUCUAUUGUAUUUUAGGAUGCAUUCGUUAUUUUUGUCUUAUCAUUUUCUAUCCAUAUAUAUGUUUGUACAUUCAUAAUUUUUGUCUGUUCAUGCAUUGAGGACAAUGCAUCCCUUAGGUUUGAGGGUGUGUUGUGCGUAUAGGUUGCAUUUGAAUAGUUGCUCAUUGUGUCUUUGACAUUCAUUUUUCCAUGACACAUAAAUGCGUUAGACUAUGACGAGUAUAUUUUUUCCUAUGAUGUUCAAUGAGGAAUUUAAUUCUUUAACAUUCCUAGAAAAUUGUGACAGUGGCUUAGGAUAGUUGCUUAAAAGUUGACCCCUAAAAGUAGAAUGUACUAAUUUCAAUUACAAUUAGUCUAUAAUAGGUUUCUUUUGAUAGACUUAGAAAUUCUUGAGGCUAAGUUCAGUGUAACGACAAUACUCAAUGAUUAAAAAAUAUAUAAUAUUUUAAAAUAAUGAUAUCAUCAAAUACUCCAAUGCUUAGAAUUUCCUAGUAAGUCAGCAUCACUUUGUUUGCUCCAUCGUGUUGUUGAUUAGAAAAGUAAGUUUAAGUAAGAGUGAUUCAAUAAAAGAAGCAGUUUAGGGACACUCCACUAUAGUGCUAGGUUAAGUAGCUAAGGGGGUAGUUGUUUGCCCCAUCCAUCUUCUAAUUUAAAAGCCUUAACUUCAUGAGAAAGUAUUCAAAUUGCGUAUGAUGGAAUACCUAGAAAUUUAAUGUAUGCUCCACUAAGAUUGUCAAGUAAUGAAAAUUAUGUGGCAAGAUGAAUCUUCGAGUAAAAGUACUUGUAAUUGAGUUAUGCAAGGCCGGAUUGUUAAAAAGAAAUUGAGCUUGGAUAACAGAUACACUAAGUACAUUAGGAAGUGCUUGUUAUAGUCGAAAUUGCAUGAGUAAUUAUAAUUUUUUAUUUUUAGGGCAACAUUUUCUGUAUUUUUUUUUUGCUAAACAAGCUUAUGAAACAUGAGCAAAUUUUUGGAAACAGAAGAUUGCUGAGAACUGAAGUAUAAAAUAUACUCUACAUAGUCUGACAUUACAAAAGGUAAUUAAAUUAUUGUGGCAAUUCAUUCAUUCAAACAUGCAUUCAUGCAUAUUUUGUUUGAGGACAAGCAAUAACUCAGGUUCGGGGGUGUGAUAUGUAACACCCCGAACCCGAGACCGUCGCCGGAGUCGAACACGAGGUGUUAACAGACUUCAAACCACUUAUUAAANNNNNNNNNNNNNNNNNNNNNNNNNNNNNNNNNNNNNNNNNNNNNNNNNNNNNNNNNNNNNNNNNNNNNNNNNNNNNNNNNNNNNNNNNNNNNNNNNNNNNNNNNNNNNNNNNNNNNNNNNNNNNNNNNNNNNNNNNNNNNNNNNNNNNNNNNNNNNNNNNNNNNNNNNNNNNNNNNNNNNNNNNNNNNNNNNNNNNNNNNNNNNNNNNNNNNNNNNNNNNNNNNNNNNNNNNNNNNNNNNNNNNNNNNNNNNNNNNNNNNNNNNNNNNNNNNNNNNNNNNNNNNNNNNNNNNNNNNNNNNNNNNNNNNNNNNNNNNNNNNNNNNNNNNNNNNNNNNNNNNNNNNNNNNNNNNNNNNNNNNNNNNNNNNNNNNNNNNNNNNNNNNNNNNNNNNNNNNNNNNNNNNNNNNNNNNNNNNNNNNNNNNNNNNNNNNNNNNNNNNNNNNNNNNNNNNNNNNNNNNNNNNNNNNNNNNNNNNNNNNNNNNNNNNNNNNNNNNNNNAACUCAGAAUCCAGUUCCGUAAAUUUUCCCUGAAACUAGACUCAUAUGCCCAUCUACAUAUUUUUUUCUAGAAUUUUUGGCUAGGCCAAUUAGUACAUUUUAUUAGUCAAAUUAUCCCAUGUUACAGGGACCGACUACACUGACCUUUGCGCAUUACGACUUAGAUAUCUCCCUGUACAGGGAUUCAAUACUGAUUUCGUUUCUUUCUAUAGAAACUAGACUCAGAGAGGAAUCUAUACAUAUAUGGAAUGAAUCCUAAUUGUCUCUGGUUAAUUUAUAAUGAAUUUCCAAAUUCGGAACAAGAAAUCCAGAAACCGUUCUGGCCCUGUCUUACGAGAACCGUAAUAUCUCUUAACAUAAUGUCCAUAUGUCCAUAUAGUUUCGUUACUUUCGUAUGAAAAUAGAUUCAUCAAGGUUCGUUUACAUAAUUUAUUCACUAUUUAAUUCCAUUCCUACUAUUUUUAGUGAUUUUCCAAAUCUACAUCACUGCUGCUGUCAGCAUCUGCCUUUAAGGUAGACUUUACCUAUUUCAUAGUUUCCAUGAUUCAACCAGCCCUUUUAGCAUAAAUAGCACAAAUUAUGAUAGUGAUUAACCAUUCCCAUGGCCAAUCCUUGUUAAGCAUAUCCACACCUCUCAAUAACCAUAUCCAUACCAAAUGAUGAUAACAUUAUGCUCAAACAUAUAUAAGCCAUUUUCGCAUGGCUAUCCAAAAUUAUACAAGUCCAAAGGGUCCAUGACCCACAACAAACGGGUAGUCCUAUACAUGCCAUUUCAAAGUUCAACCAAAAUUUGUACCAAAAGGGGGGGGCUUUGAUAGUGUGGGCGACUUCGACUUCAAAAUCCCGAGUCCGAUUGCUGGAGAACCAAAAUCUAUAAAACAGAGAAUCAAGGAGACGGAGUAAGCAAUUUAUGCUUAGUAAGUUUUGAGCAAGGGAUUCCAGCACAACAAAAGUAUAGCAUUCAUGUAGCUAAACGGAUAAUUUCAUAUGCACAAUUUUUCAAUAUCAUACUUACUUCACAUUACCAACCCUUUUAUUCAUACACAAAGAUCAACUUAGCCAAAGGCCGGUAGCUCAUUUAUCAACUGAGCGAAUACUUAUUUGUAAGGGCUCAACUAAUUCAAAGCACAUACGAAACAUACCUCAAUGUUGGGAUGUUUCAAGCGUAUUAACUGAAAUUUUUACAACAAGAUCAUUCAUUCCCAAAUCACGUACCUUCGGAAUUUAACCGGAUAUAGCUACUCGUUCAAAUGCCUUCGGGACAUAGCCCGGUUAUAGUAACUCGCACAAAUGCCUUCGGGACUUAACCCGGAUUUAGUAACUCGCAAAAAUGCCUUUGGGCUUAGCCCGGAAUUAGUAUCUCGCACAAAUGCCUUCGGAUCUUAGUCCGGAUAUGGUCACUUAGCACAAAGCCUUCGGGACUUAGCCCGGACAUCAUUCAAAUAACCACAUUUAACAAUAAAUCAUGGCACAUUCGUAUUUCGUUUUCGUUAGCAAAACUCAAACACAAGACACUUAUCAUUCUUGCAAUUUCGGCUCAUUUGCCACACAAAGAGCAUGAUUUUGAUUUGCUUAAAACAUGAUCUAAUCAAAUCAUAAUUUAAGCUCUUUUACUCAAGAACUUACCUCGGAUGUUGUCGAACGAUUCCGAUAGCUAUUCGACCACUUUUUCCUUCCCUUUAUCGGAUUUAGUUCCCCUUUGCUCUUGAGCUUAAUUAAACAAAUAAAUUGAUUUAAUCAUUUGAGCAUCGAAAAGAGGAACACAAGGCACUUAGCCCAUAUUUAUACAUUAGACAUUAAAGUCACAUAUGUACGGAAAUCAUGAAUCAAACUCAACAUUUUAGCUAAUUUUCCCCCUUGGCCGAAUUUUCUAAGCCAAGACAAAAGCAUCAAUAUGCUUGCCUCUAACCGAAUACAUGCAACACCAAUCUCCUUCCUAUGGCCGAAUAUGCAUGUCUAUGUUGGGGCCGAUUGCAACACUUAAUACAUUCUACAAGUAUGGUCACUUGUAUUGACUAAACACCAUUUUGUUUCAAGUUCAAAACUUGGCUAAUACACACAUAUAUACACUAGUAAAGCAUCCUCUCCCUUUCCAUCAAUUUAACACAUGCAUUACUCAUUAAUAUACAAAAAUUAUAUUCGGCCUUAGCACACAACUUGCUAGCCUAUUCUUCUCCAUCUAGCAACCAAUGCACAUAUGUGCUCACUCAAAAAUGCUAAAAAGAAGAUUCAAGAAUCAUCAAUCCACCAUCACAUGCAUCAUUAACAAGCUUCAUAUUUAGCAUGCAAUGGCAUUAACACAAAAUCCACCUAGGCCGAAUAUCAUCCCCAUGACAUAGCAAAGAUUUGAACCAUGGGCUAAUUAGAACUCAAGCUAGCAACUAAAAACAUGCAUGAAUCUCAUGGCACAACCUCAAACUUACCUUGAUCUAGAUUCAAGUAUGGCCAAACCUCCUCCUAAUCCUCUUCCAAACCAAACAUGAAGCAAGAACUCCUUCCUCCUUCCUUAGAAUUUUCGGCCAAAAGAAGAUGAAAAAAAAGAUGAACAAAAUUUUUCUUUUCUUUUCUUUUACUCACGGCAAUGGGGGGGGAAACAACCACACACCUUUUUUUUGUUUUCAUCAUAUUUCCUUUCAUUAUUUUAUGCCCAUGCUCCUUAUUUUAUUGUUUCCACCCAUGAUGCACCAACACAACAUGUCUAUGACAUGUCUUGCCCAUCACACUUGGUCUACCAUGCUUGUCAUGGCCGGCCACUACUAAUAGAGGGGGGAAAUUGACAUGCAAGUCCCCCCUUUUUUUUCAACAUGCACUAAUAGGUCCUUAUGCUUUGACCUAUCACAUUUUAAAAUUUUCUCACAUAAGUCCUAUUUACUAAAACUCACAUGCAAUCGACUAAAUCGAAGCUUGAAAUUUUCACACAUUCAUAAUUACAUAUUCUAGACCAUAAAUAUCACAUUCAAACAUUUCGGUGACUCGGUUUAGCGGUCCCGAAACCAUUUCCCGACUAGGGUCAAUUUUGGGCUGUCACAACUCUCCCCCACUUAAGAAAUUUUCGUCCCCGAAAAUCUUACCGGUAAAUAAGUUUGGGUAUCGUUCUUUCAUUGAGCUCUCGGUUUCCCAAGUAGCUUCCUCGAUCCCGUGUUUGAGCCAUAACACCUUUACUAGCGAAACCCUUUUGUUUCGCAACUCCUUCACUUCCCGAGCUAGGAUACGCAUCGGUUCUUCUUCAUAACUCAUAUCGGCUUGAAUUUCAACCUCUGAUGGGCUAAUUAUGUGCGAUGGAUCAGAUCUAUAGCGUCGAAGCAUCGAAAUAUGAAAGACAUCGUGAAUCUUUUCAAGUUCAGGGGGCAAAAUCAAUCUAUACGCAACCGGACCAACUCGUUCGGAGAUUUCGUACGGCCCAAUGAAUCUCGAGCUCAACUUGCCCUUACGGCCAAAUCUGAGUACCUUUUUCCAAGGCGAAACUUUAAGAAACACUUUAUCUCCCACCUGAUAUUCAAUGUCUUUUCGUUUCAAAUCCGCAUACGAUUUUUGACGAUCUGUGGCUGCCUUCAGACUUUCACGGAUUACCUUUACUUUCCGUUCGGCAUCUUUAAUCAAAUCAACUCCGAAAAUUUUACUUUCACCGAGCUCGGUCCAAAAUAAUGGGGUACGGCAUUUACGACCGUACAAAGCCUCGUAAGGUGCCAUCUUAAUACUUGUUUGAAAACUAUUGUUGUAAGCGAAUUCAAUCAAAGGUAAAUACCGUUCCCAUGAACUACUGAACUCGAGGAUGCAACAUCUCAACAUAUCCUCAAGUAUCUGAAUUAUCCGCUCAGAUUGACCAUCGUUUUGGGGGUGAAAAGCAGUGCUAAAAUGCAGCUUGGUACCCAAAGCUUCUUGCAAUUUCCUCCAAAAUCGUGAGGCGAAUCUCGGAUCUCUAUCCGACACGAUAGAAAUAGGUACCCCGUGUAAUCUCACAAUCUGAGAAACGUACAAUUCAGCUAGUUUAUCCCAUGAAAAAUCCAUACGCACAGGGAUAAAGUGAGCCGACUUAGUCAGUCUAUCGACAACAACCCAAAUCGCAUCUUUCUUACUUGCUGACAAUGGCAGUCCGGACACAAAGUCCAUUGUGACUCGAUCCCAUUUCCACUCGGGUAUCAUGAUCGACUGAAGUAAUCCUGAAGGCACUUGAUGUUCCGCUUUCACUUGUUGACAUAUUAAACAUCUCGAAACAAAGUCGGAGAUGUCUCGUUUCAUACCAUGCCACCAAAACCGACGUUUCAAAUCAUUGUACAUUUUCGUACUCCCCGGGUGAAUUGACAUUCGGCUACAAUGGGCUUCGUUCAGAAUCAUCGAAAUGAGUUCCGAAUUCCUUGGAACACACAAACGACUUCUGAACCUCAAACAAUCGUCAUCAUCAAUUUGAAACUCCGAUUCCUUGUUCGGAACACACUCAGCCCAUUUUGCAACCAAUUCAUCAUCAACUUUCUAGGCUUCACGAAUUUGAUGAAUCAAUAAUGGUUUGGCUUUUAAUUCAGCUACUAACACAUUGUCGGGUAGAACAGACAAGUGCACAUUCAUCGCUCGUAAAGCAAACAAUGAUUUCCGGCUUAAGGCGUCCGCAACCACAUUAGCCCUUCCCGGGUGGUAAUCAAUGACAAGCUCGUAAUCUUUCAACAACUCAAGCCAACGUCUUUGUCACAGAUUUAUGUCUCUUUGAGUCAUCAAAUAUUUGAGACUUUUGUGAUCCGAAAAUACAUGGCACUUUUCACCAAAUAAGUAAUGUCGCCAUAUUUUUAAAGCAAAUACGAUGGCAGCUAGUUCAAGAUCAUGGGUCGGAUAAUUUUUCUCAUGUGGCUUUAAUUGUCUCGACGCAUAGGCCACCACUCGACCUUCUUGCAUCAAUACGCAACCCAACCCAAGGAGGGAUGCGUCACUAUAAAUGACAAACUCUUUGCCUGAUUCGGGUUGCACUAAAAUUAGGAGCUUCAGUCAAAUAAGUUUUCAGUUGAUCGAAACGUUUCUGACAUUUCUCCGUCCAUUCGAACUUAACAUCCUUUUGAAGUAGCUUCGUCAUUGGUGUGGCUAUCAUCGAGAAACCUUUUACAAAUCGUCGGUAAUAACCGGCGAGUCCCAAGAAGCUCCAAACCUCAGUAAUAUUUCUCGGAGGUUUCCAGUUAAGUAUGGCUGAAAUUUUGUUCGGGUCAACUCGAAUACCCGAUGCGGAUACCACAUGACCCAAGAAGCUAACCUCUCUUAACCAGAACUCACACUUACUGAACUUAGCAUAUAACUGCUUAUCCCGCAAAAUUUGCAACACUAGUCUCAGGUGCUCAGCAUGUUCGGUCUCAUCUCUUGAAUAGACCAAGAUGUCAUCAAUGAACACAACUACUGAACCGAUCCAAAUAUGGUCUGAAGAUCUGAUUCAUCAAAUCCAUAAAUACCGCAGGGGCAUUAGUGAGUCCAAACGGCAUCACUAAGAAUUCGUAGUGACCAUAUCUCGUUCUGAAGGCAGUUUUAGGUAUGUCCGAAUCUCGAAUUCGCAACUGAUAAUAGCCCGAUCUCAAAUCUAUUUUUGAGAACACUGAGGCUCCUUUUAGUUGAUCAAACAAAUCAUCAAUACGCAGUAACGGAUAUUUAUUCUUUAUCGUCACUUUAUUCAGCUGACGAUAGUCAAUGCACAACCUCAUGGUUCCGUCCUUCUUUUUCACGAACAAUACUGGUGCACCCCAAUGUGAGAAACUUGGUCGAGCGAAACCUCUAUCCGUCAAUUCUUGCAACUGAGCUUUCAACUCUUUUAACUCGAUUGGUGCCAUACGAUACGGAGCUAUCGAAAUCGGCGUAGUCCCAGGUACAAGCUCAAUACCAAACUCUAUCUCCCGAACAGGUGGUAAACCCGGUAAUUCUUCAGGAAAAACAUCCGGGUAUUCACAAACCACCGGCACAGAUUCGGGUUUCUUUUCUAAUUCUUUGUCAUCAAGUACAUACGCAAGGUAUGCUUCGCACCCUUUUCUUACAUAUUUCUGGGCCAACAUUGAGGAUAUUACAGCUGGCAACCCCUUUAAGUCCGUAGACUCAACUCGGAUUAUCUCGUCAUUUGCGCACCUCAAAUCAAUAGUCUUGCUUUUGCAAUUCACAACCGCAUCAUGCGCGGUCAACCAAUCCAAACCAAGAAUAACAUCAAAUUCAUCAAACGGCAAAAGCAUCAAGUCCGCCGGAAAACAGGAACCUCGAAUUACUAAGGGACAUUUCUUGCACACUUUGUCGACCAGCACGUAACGACCCAAGGGAUUUGACACCCGAAUUACGAACUCAGUAGACUCAAUAGGUAAAGUCUUACUGGAUGCUAAGGUUUCACAUAUGUAAGAAUGAGUAGAACCGGGGUCAAUCAAAGCAAUUACAUUAGUAUCAAAGAGAGUAAAAGUACCGGUAAUAACAUCAGGCGAAGAAGCAUCCUCGCGGGCACGUAUAGCAUAAGCUCUAGCAGGCGCACGAGCCUCGGAUCUGGUCGUAGCAUCUCUAGAUCCUCUCUGACCACCACUAGCAUUGCCCGUAUUUCCAGAUGAUCUACCUCGAGCAGUGGUAGCACCCGGUUUCCCACUCUGAUUUACAUUCUAUUCAGACAACCUCGGGCAAUCUUUAAUGAAGUGGUCAACUGAUCUGCACUUGUAACAGGAGCGGUCAGGGAAUCUACAACUCCCCGAAUGCCAUUUACCGCAAUAUCGACAUUUCGUUCUGUCUCGACGUUCAUUCCCAACACUGGCGACCGAAGUGCCUCUAGACCGGCCCACAUCAUCUCGAAAUUUCUUCGAUGCCUGUUGAAGAGACUUUCCCGAGGAUCUUUUACGAAACUCUCCAGUUCCCACAUCAACUUUUUGUUUUUCUUUUCUAAGCUCUUCGGCUUUAUAAGCUCGCUCGACAAGUACUACGAACUCUCGUAUUUCAAGAAUGCCAACGAACAUUUUUAUAUCUUCAUUCAGCCCAUCCUCGAAGCGUUUACACAUGAUAGCCUCGGACGAAACACAUUCUCGAGCGUAUCUACUAAGUCUAACAAAUUUUCGCUCGUAAUCAGUUACUGACAUAGAACCUUGCUUAAGCUCAAGAAAUUCCUUCCGUUUUUGAUCAACAAAUCUCUGACUGAUAUACUUUUUCCGAAACUCAGUUUGGAAAAACUCCCAAGUUACUUGCUCUCGGGGCACAACAGAAGUCAGAGUACUCCACCAAUAAUAGGCAGAAUCGCGUAGCAAGGAGAUAGUACACUUUAGGCAUUCAUCGGGUGUACAAGAUAGCUCAUCGAGUACCCGGAUAGUGUUGUCCAACCAAAAUUCAGCUUGCUUGGCAUCGUCGCUAUCCGUAGCUUUAAAUUCAGUAGCCCCAUGUUUUCGGAUUCUGUCAACUGGGGGCUUAUUUGACCUUAUUUGGUCAGUUACCGGAGGUAUUGUAGGUGCGGGGGUGGUAUUUGUCGGGAAUGCAGGUUGUGGAACAGCCGUAUUAGUUCGAAUGUAUUGGUUGAACCAAUCAUUCAUCACGCUAUAGAAAGCUUGUCUAGCUUCAUCAUUCGGAUUACUAGCAUUAGGUUGAGAGUCUGCCGGCGCUGUCCCUUGUGCGAGAGCAGGCGCUACACUCUCAAGAUCAUCAGCUACCGCUCGGUUGGGAUCGGGAUCCAUUACUAUAAAUAAACACAUUUACAAUUGUCAGAAAUCACCACACUAUCAAAUAAUCACAUAAAAUGGCAUGUAUAGCUAGACCCAACGCAUUACGGUAGUCCUAGAAUCGACUAAACCGUAGCUCUGAUACCAAUCAAAUGUAACACCCCAAACCCGAAACCAUCACCGGAGUCGAACACGAGGUGUUAACAGACUUUAAACCACUUAUAAAAAAAUUUCCCAGACACUGCCAAUCUGCGUACUAGUCGCUUUAAAAAUCAUAUCUUGAGUUCAAAAACUCGGAAUCCAGUUCCGUAAAUUUUCCCUGAAACUAGACUCAUAUGCCCAUCUACAUAUUUUUUUCUAGAAUUUUUGGUUGGGCCAAUUAGUACAGUUUAUUAGUCAAAGUCUCCCAUGUUACAGGGAUCGACUACACUGACCUUUGCGCAUUACGACUUGGAUAUCUCCCUGUACAGGGCUUCAAUACUGAUUUCGUUUGUUUCUAUACAAACUAGACUCAAAGAGGAAUCUAUACAUAUAUGUAAUGACUCCUAAUUAUCUCUGGUUAAUUUAUAAUGAAUUUCCAAAGUCGAAACAGGGAAUCCAGAAACCGUUCUGGCGCUGUCUUACGAGAACCUGAAUAUCUCUUAACAUACUGUCCAUAUGAUCGUUUCGUUACUUUCCUAUGAAAAUAGAUUCAUCAAGGUUCGUUUACAUAAUUUAUUCACUAUUUAAUUCCAUUCCUACUAUUUUUAGUGAUUUUCCAAAUCUACAUCACUGUUGCUGUCAGCAUCUGCCUUUAAGGUAGACUUUACCUAUUUCAUAGUUUCCAUGAUUCAACUAGCCCUUUUAGCAUAAAUAGCACAAAUUAUGAUAGUGAUUAACCAUUCCCAUGGCCAAUCCUUGUUAAGCAUAUCCACACCUCUCAAUAACCAUAUCCAUACCAAAUGAUGAUAACAUUAUGCUCAAACAUAUAUAAGCCAUUUUCGCAUGGCUAUCCAAAAUUAUACAAGUCCAAAGGGUCCAUGACCCACAACAAACGGGUAGUCCUAUACAUGCCAUUUCGAAGUUCAACCAAAUUUGUACCAAAAGGGGGGGGCUUUGAUAGUGUGGGCGACUUCGACUUCAAAAUCCCGAGUCCGAUAGCUGGAGAACCAAAAUCUAUAAAACAGAGAAUCAAGGAGACGGAGUAGGCAAUUUAUGCUUAGUAAGUUUUGAGCAAGGGAUUCCAGCACAACAAAAGUAUAGCAUUCAUGUAGCUAAACGGAUAAUUUCAUAUGCACAAUUUUUCAAUAUCAUACUUACUUCACAUUACCAACCCUUUUAUUCAUACACAAAGAUCAACUUAGCCAAAGGCCGGUAGCUCAUUUAUCAACUGAGCGAAUACUUAUUUGUAAGGGCUCAACUAAUUCAAAGCACAUACGAAACAUACCUCAAUGUUGGGAUGUUUCAAGCGUAUUAACUGAAAUUUUUACAGCAAGAUCAUUCAUUCCCAAAUCACGUACCUUCGGAAUUUAACCGGAUAUAGCUACUCGUUCAAAUGCCUUCGGGACAUAGCCCGGUUAUAGUAACUCGCACAAAUGCCUUCGGGACUUAACCCGGAUUUAGUAACUCGCACAAAUGCCUUCGGGCUUAGCCCGGAAUUAGUAUCUCGCACAAAUGCCUUUGAAUCUUAGUCCGGAUUUAGUAUCUCGCACAAAUGCCUUCGGAUCUUAGUCCGGAUAUGGUCACUUAGCACAAAGCCUUCGGGACUUAGCCCGGACAUCAUUCAAAUAACCAUGCACAUUUAACAAUAAAUCAUGGCACAUUCGUAUUUCAUUUUCGUUAGCAAAACUCAAACACAAGACUCUUAUCAUUCUUGCAAUUUCGGCUCAAUAGCCACACACAAAGAGCAUGAUUUUAAUUUGCUUAAAACAUGAUCUAUUCAAAUCAUAAUUUAAGCUCUUUUACUCAAGAACUUACCUCGGAUGUUGUCGAACGAUUCUGAUAGCUAUUCGACCACUUUUUCCUUCCCUUUAUCGGAUUUAGUUCCCCUUUGCUCUUGAGCUUAAUUAAACAAAUAAAUUGAUUUAAUCAUUUGAGCAUCGAAAAGAGGAACACAAGGCACUUAGCCCAUAUUUAUACAUUAGACAUUAAAGUCACAUAUGUACGGAAAUCAUGAAUCAAACUCAACAUUUUAGCUAAUUUUCCCCCUUGGCCAAAUUUUCUAAGCCAAGACAAAAGCAUCAAUAUGCUUGCCUCUAACCGAAUACAUACAACACCAAUCUCCUUCCUAUGGCCGAAUAUGCAUGUCUAUGUUGGGGCCGAUUGCAACACUUAAUACAUUCUACAAGUAUGGUCACUUGUAUUGACUAAACACCAUUUUGUUUCAAGUUCAAAACUUGGCUAAUACACACAUAUAUACACUAGUAAAGCAUCCUCUCCCUUUCCAUCAAUUUAACACAUGCAUUACUCAUUAAUAUACAAAAAUUAUAUUCGGCCUUAGCACACAACUUGCUAGCCGAUUCUUCUCCAUCUAGCAACCAAUGCACAUAUGUGCUCACUCAAAAAUGCUAAAAAGAAGAUUCAAGAAUCAUCAAUCCACCAUCACAUGCAUCAUUAACAAGCUUCAUAUUUAGCAUGCAAUGACAUUAACACAAAAUCCACCUAGGCCGAAUAUCAUCCCCAUGACAUAGCAAAGAUUUGAACCAUGGGCUAAUUAGAACUCAAGCUAGCAACUAAAAACAUGCAUGAAUCUCAUGGCACAAUCAAACUUACCUUGAUCUAGAUACAAGUAUGGCCAAACCUCCUCCUAAUCCUCUUCCAAACCAAACAUGAAGCAAGAACUCCUUCCUCCUUCCUUAGAAUUUUCGGCCAAAAGAAGAUGAAAAAAAGAUGAACAAAAUUUUUCUUUUCUUUUCUUUUACUCACGGCAAUGGGGGGGGAAACAACCACACACCUUUUUUUUUUGUUUUCAUCAUAUUUCCUUUCAUUAUUUUAUGCCCAUGCUUCUUAUUUUAUUGUUUCCACCCAUGAUGCACCAACACAACAUGUCUAUGACAUGUCUUGCCCAUCACACUUGGUCUACCAUGCUUGUCAUGGCCAGCCACUACUAAUAGAGGGGGGAAAUUGACAUGCAAGUCCCCCCCUUUUUUUCAACAUGCACUAAUAGGUCCUUAUGCUUUGACCUUUCACAUUUCAAAAUUUUCUCACAUAAGUCCUAUUUACUAAAACUCACAUGCAAUCGACUAAAUCGAAGCUUGAAAUUUUCACACAUUCAUAAUUACAUAUUCUAGACCAUAAAUAUCACAUUCGAACAUUUCGGUGACUCGGUUUAGCGGUCCCGAAACCACUUCCCGACUAGGGCCAAUUUUGGGCUGUCACAAAUUUGGUCCCUUAGUUAAAGGGACCAAAUUUCUCAAUCUCCUUUGAGCUUGUGAAAAGAAGGUUUGAGGCCUUAAGUGAUCCAGCUCUCAAGGUGAGCCUAAAGAAAGCUAAGUUGGUUACUUUGAAAUUAAGGACCACCUAAGUAAUGGGACCAUCAUGAAUCCGAAGGUGCAAACCAUGGGAGACUUCUAUGAGUUGAGUAGUGACAUGUUUUGAAUAGAACUUGAUGAACCAUUGGAAAAUGGUACCAUUAUUAGAGGGUUGGUAAAAUUGAGCCCUUAUUAAGAUUCAUAAGCGACUCAGUCUAAUGCACAAAAAGAAAAGUUGAGGCUGAAAAGGGUAUAGCAUGUUAUCCAACUCUUUUGACUAAAUGCUAAAGAUAAUGUUGUUGUCACCUGUCUGAAUUUAAUGUUGGGAUCAACUUUGAGGGAGGAGGGUGAUAACAAAAGGGCUGUUGGAUAACAUCUCAAAGAAAGUUUAAGUUUGUUGUGGGAUUUAAUGUUUGAUCUUUAGUCGACUAAACAUCUUGUGUUUGUGCUUAAUGUAUCUUUCCUUAUCUUUUUCUUGGUCUUAUUAGUUACUGAAAUUAAGGACUUGAAGUAUAGUUUAGAUCAUAUGCAUUUAUAUGACUCAUUCAUAUAAACGACUGAAACCUCGAUGUAAAGUGAUGAUCCGUCUCUCAAUUUUAUUUCUGGAAAGGUUAAUUGAACUUAUUUGUUUAUGGGGAUGUUUUUCGUGCGUUUUCACCAAGUUGGCAUUGGUGUGUAUUUGUCGUAUGGACUAUCUUCUAUUUUGCAAUGAAAUGAUUUCUUGUAAGCAUAAAAAACAAAUAAAAAAAAACAAGUCCCACAAAAAUUAUAAAAAUGCUAAGCAGCUUGAGAAAAAAAUAUGUUGUAUUAAAAUAGAAUUCUUUUAAAAAAAUCAAAUUUUAAACGGGAUAUUUUCAUUUCAGCAAACGAAAGGAUAACGCGUGUCAAAAUUUCAUUAUCCAUCCACCUACUACUAUCAAUAAUAUUGGAACCACAGUUAUAAUCCGUUGUUUCCUCUUUGAAGGCUUCACUCCACAACGCUCUUUGCUUUAUCCCCUUCCAAAGAUGGACCGCUUCUCUCUUCUCUUCCUCCUCCUUUCCUCCGUCGUUGCUUCGGCCGUCGUCUCCGACGUUAAUAGCGAUGACGAUCCUCUCAUCCGUCAAGUUGUUUCCGAUGGUGGUGUCGAGGAGGACUCCGAUGACCAUCUCCUUAAUGCGGAGCACCACUUCACGCUGUUCAAAUCCAAGUAUGGGAAAACCUACGCAUCCCAGGAGGAGCACGAUUACCGACUGGGAGUCUUCAAGGCUAACCUGCGUCGGGCCAAGCGUCAUCAGGUCCUGGACCCCAGUGCCGUCCAUGGCGUCACAAAGUUUUCCGAUUUAACUCCAUCGGAGUUCCGCCGCCAGUAUCUAGGCUUGAAACCGCUCAAGCUCCCAGCCGAUGCUCAAAAGGCUCCUAUCCUUCCGACUGACAACUUACCGGAUGACUUUGACUGGCGUGACCACGGCGCCGUCACUGGCGUUAAAGACCAGGUAAUAUUAGAAUAUAAUUAGUUUAAUCACACAUAUCAUCCUUUUUAUGUCAUUAGUUAAAUUUCUCUCUUUGUUUAUGAUGAUUCUUAUUUGUUUAUGUUUAUAUUUAGGGUUCCUGUGGAUCGUGUUGGUCGUUCAGUGCGACGGGGGCUUUGGAGGGAGCCCAUUAUUUGGCGACAGGAGAGCUUGUAAGCUUGAGUGAGCAGCAGCUUGUUGAUUGUGAUCACGAGGUUUCAAUCUUUCUUACUUUUCUUUACAUCUCUCGAUUAUUUACCAAAAGAAUUUUAUCCUUCUACUUUACAAGAAUUAAAAACCUAAUUCUAUUAUUUUAAUUUAUCCGAAUUUUAUGAUGAUAUUUUAGUAAAAAUGAGAAGUUAAUUAAAUUGGGUUGAUAUUGUUAAAGCUUGUAGCAACUUAUAUGCAAGUAGUUUAACAAUUGAUUUGUAAUAAAUUAGUAAAAUUUAACUAUUUUAAUUCAUGUAUUUACUAACAACUGAACUAACUUGUCAGUUUUUGUGAAGUAUGACAACCAUUGUAGAGAUUGAUGCAUUAGAUGGGUGAAAACUGUCUGUUAAGGAUGUUAAUUAACUGGGAAAACUUUGAUGCUGUUCUGUAAUUUCAAAAUUUUCUUUUAUAUGGUUUUUGGCUGCAAAUUCAGUGCUAACAUUUGGCUACUGGCUAAAAACACGCAUUAAUUAUCAAUCUAACAAACAACAAUCCUUCAACUAAAGAUUGGUUAUUUUACAGUGUGAUCCACAACAGUAUGGUGCGUGUGACUCAGGGUGUAAUGGUGGUCUAAUGACCUCUGCUUUCGAGUACACCCUGAAGGUUGGUGGACUUGAGAGAGAGAAGGAUUACCCUUACACUGGGAAUGACCGUGGUCCCUGCAAAUUUGACAAGACCAAAAUCGCUGCCUCUGUUUCUAACUUCAGCGUCAUUUCUGUUGAUGAGGAUCAAAUCGCUGCUAAUUUGGUGAAGCAUGGUCCCCUUGCAGGUAAGUUUCAUGCCGUUUGGAGUGUCUGUUACGGUCCUUGAUUUGUGAACGAAUCUAAUCUAAAUAUGUUUUGGUUCUUGCAGUGGGUAUCAAUGCAGUUUUCAUGCAGACAUAUAUGGGAGGAGUUUCAUGUCCUUACAUUUGCUUUAGAACUUUGGAUCAUGGAGUUCUUCUGGUAGGGUACGGAGCUGCUGGUUACUCCCCAAUCCGCUUUAAGGACAAGCCUUUCUGGAUCAUAAAGAAUUCAUGGGGAGCAAACUGGGGAGAGGACGGAUAUUACAAAAUAUGCAGAGGUCGCAAUGUUUGUGGAGUGGACUCCAUGGUCUCAAGUGUGGCGGCUUUGCAUACAAAGUCUCAGUAGCAUAGCCCUGUAAAUGACUGAGAUAAGUAACAGUAAUAUUAGUAUCCAUCAGUAUGUCUUAACUCUGGAUUUAUGCCAUCUGCUAAAACGGGUUUAUUCCAAUCCUGGUUUAUGCAGCCACCUUUAAAAGGCUGCAUUUAGUAGCUUUAGAAUUUUAAUCUCAGCAUAUGAACCUCUUUUUUCUUGGGCAAUGAUUUUCAUUGUACCAAAUAAAAGGGGUGUAUGCUAGAGAUGAUUAUUACUUAUUUGUGUUGUAACCAAGUGUUGUGAUGUAUAUCAGUCUACCUAUAUAUGAAUUUGGAACUUGGUAUUAUCUCUGGGCAGGCCAAUGGCAGAAUCCCCU
rnacentral:lncRNA from 1 species